rnacentral:rRNA from 1 species
UACGUAGGUGGCAAGCGUUGUCCGGAUUUACUGGGCGUAAAGAGCGCGCAGGCGGUCGUUCAAGUCGCGUGUGAAAGCCCCCGGCUCAACUGGGGAGGGUCACGCGAUACUGAUCGACUGGAAGGCAGGAGAGGGUAGUGGAAUUCCUGGUGUAGCGGUGAAAUGCGCAGAUAUCAGGAGGAACACCGGUGGCGAAGGCGGUUCUCUGGGCACGACCUGACGCUGAGGAGCGAAAGUGUGGGGAGCGAACAGG